rnacentral:rRNA from 1 species
GAAUAUUGGACAAUGGGCGCAAGCCUGAUCCAGCCAUGCCGCGUGCAGGAAGACGGCCCUAUGGGUUGUAAACUGCUUUUGUACGGGAAGAACAUGGGCCACGCGUUGCCCUCUGACGGUACCGUAAGAAUAAGGAUCGGCUAACCCCGUGCCCGCCGCCGCGGUAAUACGGAGGAUCCGAGCGUUAUCCGGAAUCAUUGGGUUUAAAGGGUCCGUAGGCGGGCCGUUAAGUCAGGGGUGAAAGUCUGCAGCUCAACUGUAGAACUGCCCUUGAUACUGACGGCCUUGAGUUGCGGUGAAGUGGCCGGAAUAUGUAGUGUAGCGGUGAAAUGCAUAGAUAUUACAUAGAACACCGAUUGCGAAGGCAGGCCACUAACCGCACACUGACGCUGAUGGACGAAAGCGUGGGGAGCGAACAGG